rnacentral:tRNA from 1 species
GUUUUUGUAGUUGAAUAACAACGGUGGUUUUUCAAGCCAUUAGUCUUGGUUAAAGUCCUGGCGAGAACU